rnacentral:rRNA from 1 species
GAUGAACGCUGGCGGCGUGCCUAAUACAUGCAAGUCGAGCGAACAGACGAGGAGCUUGCUCCUCUGACGUUAGCGGCGGACGGGUGAGUAACACGUGGAUAACCUACCUAUAAGACUGGGAUAACUUCGGGAAACCGGAGCUAAUACCGGAUAAUAUAUUGAACCGCAUGGUUCAAUGGUGAAAGACGGUUUUGCUGUCACUUAUAGAUGGAUCCGCGCCGCAUUAGCUAGUUGGUAAGGUAACGGCUUACCAAGGCAACGAUGCGUAGCCGACCUGAGAGGGUGAUCGGCCACACUGGAACUGAGACACGGUCCAGACUCCUACGGGAGGCAGCAGUAGGGAAUCUUCCGCAAUGGGCGAAAGCCUGACGGAGCAACGCCGCGUGAGUGAUGAAGGUCUUCGGAUCGUAAAACUCUGUUAUUAGGGAAAAACAAAUGUGUAAGUAACUAUGCACGUCUUGACGGUACCUAAUCAGAAAGCCACGGCUAACUACGUG